rnacentral:tRNA from 1 species
GCGCUGGUAGUCUAACGGUUAGGACCCUAGCCUUCCAAGCUGGUAAUCCGAGUUCAAAUCUCGGCCGGCGCACCA